CCCCUCGCCGGGUGUGGUAUUUUCAUUGUUAUUUCCAAGGGGGCAUGGUCCGACCAUAUUAUGGGGCCAAUGUGCAUGUCUAUAGCGUGUGGCAGUGUGCUCCUGUCGAAGAGGCAGAGAUCAAUUCUGGAGUACGUCAUGUGGACUGAGGAAUAAAAUGUAUAAUCUCUUAUACCCGGGUAUAAAUUACGCCACACGUCAUAGUAGUCAGAGGAGUGCAGCAGGUUUG